UAAUUGGAGAGUUUGAUCCUGGCUCAGGACGAACGCUGGCGGCGUGCCUAAUACAUGCAAGUCGAGCGGACCGACGGGAGCUUGCUCCCUUAGGUCAGCGGCGGACGGGUGAGUAACACGUGGGUAACCUGCCUGUAAGACUGGGAUAACUCCGGGAAACCGGGGCUAAUACCGGAUGCUUGAUUGAACCGCAUGGUUCCAAUCAUAAAAGGUGGCUUUCAGCUACCACUUACAGAUGGACCCGCGGCGCAUUAGCUAGUUGGUGAGGUAACGGCUCACCAAGGCGACGAUGCGUAGCCGACCUGAGAGGGUGAUCGGCCACACUGGGACUGAGACACGGCCCAGACUCCUACGGGAGGCAGCAGUAGGGAAUCUUCCGCAAUGGACGAAAGUCUGACGGAGCAACGCCGCGUGAGUGAUGAAGGUUUCCGGAUCGUAAAACUCUGUUGUUAGGGAAGAACAAGUAUCGGAGUAACUGCCGGUACCUUGACGGUACCUAACCAGAAAGCCACGGCUAACUACGUGCCAGCAGCCGCGGUAAUACGUAGGUGGCAAGCGUUGUCCGGAAUUAUUGGGCGUAAAGCGCGCGCAGGCGGUUUCUUAAGUCUGAUGUGAAAGCCCCCGGCUCAACCGGGGAGGGUCAUUGGAAACUGGGGAACUUGAGUGCAGAAGAGGAGAGUGGAAUUCCACGUGUAGCGGUGAAAUGCGUAGAGAUGUGGAGGAAUACCGGUGGCGAAGGCGGCCCCCUGGACAAAGACUGACGCUCAGGUGCGAAAGCGUGGGGAGCAAACAG
rnacentral:rRNA from 1 species